UGGGGAAUAUUGGACAAUGGGCGGAAGCCUGAUCCAGCCAUGCCGCGUGUGUGAAGAAGGCCUUUUGGUUGUAAAGCACUUUAAGCGAGGAGGAGGCUACUUGGAUUAAUACUCUAGGAUAGUGGACGUUACUCGCAGAAUAAGCACCGGCUAACUCUGUGCCAGCAGCCGCGGUAAUACAGAGGGUGCGAGCGUUAAUCGGAUUUACUGGGCGUAAAGCGUGCGUAGGCGGCUUCUUAAGUCGGAUGUGAAAUCCCCGAGCUUAACUUAGGAAUUGCAUUCGAUACUGGGAAGCUAGAGUAUGGGAGAGGAUGGUAGAAUUCCAGGUGUAGCGGUGAAAUGCGUAGAGAUCUGGAGGAAUACCGAUGGCGAAGGCAGCCAUCUGGCCUAAUACUGACGCUGAGGUACGAAAGCAUGGGGAGCAAACAGG
rnacentral:rRNA from 1 species